AGGAAUAGUUUUACUCCCAUGAGGUUGGCGAUUUAAAUUCAUACUAUAUUUGGCUUAGACUGAUUCUCAGUUAUUGUCAUAAUAAGUUUCUUGUUUAUAUGAUGCACAGUGAAAUGAAAAUGGUGAGUCGUUACGGUGGAAUCAGAUAGCUACUGAAAAUUCAGGCAUGCCAAUAGGUUCCUUUCUUGGACCUUCUCUUUUGCUCAAUUGAUAAAUCUCAGAGUGUCUUUUCAGUGCCUCCACAUUUUCAGCUCGAACAUAAAUAAGUUUCCAGUAUAAUGUCCUAUUACGCUUCAUCCCAACUUGCUUCCUCUUCUUCUUAUAAUUAUGCUUUCUCCUAUCUCCAUGAUUAUUGAUGACAUCUCACUCUCCUGGAUUAUUUUCUUAACUGUUCUAACCAAAUCUUGUAAGACUGAGAUCAAUUUUCACCUCUUUCCUAAAGCCAUGCAUGUCCUUCCCCAAACUUCAGCCUGAAAUAGUAUUUCCAGUUUAUGAACAGUACUUCUAGCAUUUAUUCAGGAGUUAAUUAUGUCUAUAUCUUAUAUGAUUUAAAAUCUCUUAAAAACUUUUACACCUACUUACACUUCUAGUCUAACACUUAUCUAACUUUAUUAGAGGGUGCAACUUGAAGGCAUACUUA
rnacentral:lncRNA from 1 species